AUUGAACGCUGGCGGCAUGCCUUACACAUGCAAGUCGAACGGCAGCACGGACUUCGGUCUGGUGGCGAGUGGCGAACGGGUGAGUAAUGUAUCGGAACGUACCUUUCAGUGGGGGAUAACGUAGCGAAAGUUACGCUAAUACCGCAUAUUCUGUGAGCAGGAAAGCAGGGGAUCGCAAGACCUUGCGCUGAUUGAGCGGCAUAUAUCAGAUUAGCUAGUUGGUGAGGUAAAGGCUCACCAAGGCGACGAUCUGUAGCGGGUCUGAGAGGAUGGUCCGCCACACUGGAACUGAGACACGGUCCAGACUCCUACGGGAGGCAGCAGUGGGGAAUUUUGGACAAUGGGGGCAACCCUGAUCCAGCCAUGCCGCGUGAGUGAAGAAGGCCUUCGGGUUGUAAAGCUCUUUCGGCCGGGAAGAAAUCGCAUGGGUUAAUACCCUGUGUGGAUGACGGUACCGGAAUAAGAAGCACCGGCUAACUACGUGCCAGCCGCCGCCGUAAGAC
rnacentral:rRNA from 1 species